rnacentral:lncRNA from 1 species
CGGCUUCUGUGAGCCAGACGGACGUGCGCGCGCAUUGAGGGUUGUGGCGAGCGGAGGCCUGCGUGCUGCUUUUCGACCACCCCAGACUCACUUCCCUCUUCUGUCCCAGCACCCCGGACUUCUCCGGGGUUCACGUGCCACCAGAAAGAUACUUUUAUUAUUGAAAGUGGCAAAGGACCAAACAAACAAGAAAACACAACACAGAUCAGUGCUGAAAAGAUUGUAUGCAACUAAUCAAUCAGUUGCAGAGAAUUCAUUGAAAGCAUAUCAAUGAAACCUAUUUGCUGGAGAAGUAGGUUGGUUACACAGUGCAAUGGGAGGAUAGCAAAAACUGGUCUCCUGAAACAUCUAGGACAAAAAGGACAGUCCUGCAGACAGACCGUGUUUGGAUCAAGUGAGCCAGUUCUUUGAACCUGAACACUGCUGAGUCAAGGCACACCGCAGAUUGGU